GUAAAUACAGAAAAUAGGCGCAAAUGCUUACAAAAUUUCGCUCCACUAGGUUUUAAACCCACAACUCGUCACUUGCAUCACCGCCUCAGCAGCUCCGCUGCGCGCCUGCGCGCUCUAUUGAUAUUAAUUUCAUUCACAGAUAUAUACAUAAGGUAGUAAAUCCCUUGUAUUUUUUUUUUUAAUAUAGCGCUCACCGUGAGCGCUGCGCUCAGACAAGUGCGUCCCAAAUUUGUUAGGCGUUUGAAUUGGGGAAAGCAAAGCGCGGAUUUAGGGUUUAUGUAGAAGAGGGUCUUCGCUUCCAAUAUCUGAAUCUCACUUCCUUCAAGUCAAGUCUCGGCGGUGCAUCCAAUCAAAUAAUGGCUCGGAGGCGUCGCAAUGAUUCAAGCAGCAGUGAGGAUGAGGAGAAGCAAACUAGGCAUUCGCGAUAUGAGAGGAGCGAGAACAAUCCAAAUGCCGAUGAUUCUAGCAGUGGCGGCCACGAUGACAGGAGAGACAGGAGGAAAACCGAUCUGAAAUUGGAGGGCACAAGUAGGUCAGAGAGUAAGGAUUCGGAUCCUGAGCAUAGGAAGAGUAGGAGAGGUGAUUUGUCAAGGGAGAGGAAAUCGCGGCAUGACUCCGAAAGUAAAGAUUUGAAUAGGAGUAGUGAUGAUAGGAGGAUUGACGAGAUUGAGCGUAAGAGCAGGAGAGAUGAAAAACCACGACAUGAUGAUGAUAGAGAAGAUGAUAGGAGUGGCCGGAAGGAUAGGGGACGUGGUCGAGAUUUGGAGAGUGAUAGAAGAAGGGGACGGGAAUCAGACGAUGAAGAGGAAGAAGAAGGAGAGUACAGGGUCCGGGAGGAUGACAGGAAAGAGCGGCCAAGGGACAGAGGUAGAGAUGGCCGGAAAGAGCGGCCAAGGGAUAGAGAGAGGGAAAGAGAUGAUAGAAGGGAUAGAGAUCGAGAAAGAGAUGGUAGAAGGGAUAGAGAGCGAGAAAGAGAUGGUAGAAGGGAUAGAGAGCGAGACAGAGAUGAUAGAAGGGAUAGAGAGCGUGAGAGAGGACAUGCUGACAAUGGUGAUAGGAGGGAAAGAGAUCGAGAAGGAGAUAGGAGACAUGACGAGAAUGGUGAUAGGUAUAAGAGCUCUAAGAAUGAGAGGAAUGAAACUGCAGAUUUGAAGACGAAGGGAGAUGUGAAUGUUGCUGUUGACAUAGUGGCGAAUAUGGGAAGGAGUGGUGGAGUGUAUGUUCCUCCAUUUAAGUUGGCCAGAAUGAUGAAGGAAAUUGAGGAUAAAAGCAGCCUUGAAUAUCAAAGAAUGACAUGGGACGCUCUGAGGAAGAGUAUUAAUGGAUUGGUGAACAAAGUGAACGCCACCAACAUCAAAAACAUCAUUCCGGAGCUGUUUGCUGAAAAUUUGAUACGAGGGCGGGGUCUAUUCUGUCGAUCCUGUAUGAAGUCUCAAAUGGCGUCUCCAGGGUUCACUCAUGUAUUUGCAGCUUUGGUUUCUGUCGUAAACACAAAGUUCCCUGAAGUAGGGGAUCUUCUGUUGCGGAGGAUCAUACUACAGCUACAGAGGGCAUUUAAGCGCAAUGAUAAGCCACAACUACUUGCUGCGGUCAAAUUCAUAGCUCACCUGGUGAACCAGCAGAUAGUUCAUGAGCUUAUUGCUCUUGAGCUGCUGACAUUACUGCUGGAAAAGCCCACCGAUGAUAGUGUUGAAGUAGCUGUCGGAUUUGUUACAGAAUGUGGAUCCUUGCUGCAGGACCUUUCCCCCAGGGGAUUGCACGGUAUCUUUGAGCGAUUCCGUGGUAUUCUUCAUGAAGGAGAAAUAGAUAAGCGUGUACAGUUCUUAAUUGAAGGCCUCUUUGCAUUGCGGAAAGCAAAGUUUCAGGGGUACCCUGCUGUCCGUCCAGAGCUGGACCUAGUGGAGCAGGAAGACCAAUUGACUCAUGAAGUUUCUCUUUUGGAUGAGAUAGAUGCUGAGAACACUUUAGAUAUCUUCCAGCCGGAUCCCCAUUUCGUGGAGAAUGAGAAGAAGUAUGAAGACCUAAAGAAGCAAAUACUAGGUGAAGAAUCUGAGGAUGAAGCAGAGUCAGAUGAAGAUGCAGAUUCAGAGGAUGAUGAUGAUGAGGAGGACGACGAUGAGGAAGAGGAUGAAGACGAAGAGCAGAUGAAAAUUAAGGAUGAGACAGAGACAAAUUUGGUUAAUCUUCGGAGAACUAUCUAUUUGACAAUUAUGUCUAGUGUUGAUUUUGAAGAAGCUGGGCACAAGCUAUUGAAGAUCAAACUAGAGUCUGGUCAGGAGAUGGAAUUAUGCAUCAUGCUUUUGGAGUGUUGCAGCCAGGAGAGAACGUACCUCCGCUACUAUGGGCUUCUUGGGCAGAGAUUUUGUAUGAUUAACAGAAUUCAUCAGGAGAAUUUUGAGAAGUGUUUUGUCCAGCAGUAUUCCAUGAUUCACCGGCUGGAAACCAAUAAACUGCGCAAUGUGGCAAAGUUCUUUGCACAUUUACUUGGCACGGAUGCAUUGCCUUGGCACGUUUUGGCCUACAUUCGGUUGACUGAAGAGGAUACUACUUCUUCUUCUCGUAUCUUCAUCAAGAUUCUCUUCCAGGAAUUGUCAGAACACCUAGGAAUUCGCUUGCUUAAUGAACGUCUAAGCGACCCUGGCAUGCAAGACUCGUUCGAGUCUAUUUUUCCCAAGGACAACCCGAAAAACACUAGGUUUGCUAUCAACUUCUUCACUUCCAUUGGGCUUGGAGGGAUCACAGAAAACCUGCGGGAGUAUCUCAAGAACAUGCCUCGGCUCAUCAUGCAACAACAAAAGGCUGUACCCGAGUCCGAUUCUGAAUCUGAUAGUUCUGGUUCUGAUUCUGAUGGAUCUGGGUCUGGAUCGGGAUCAUCAAGUUCGGAGUCAAGUGAGAGUGAAAGCGACAGGGAUAAGAGGCGAAAGAAGAGGAGAAGAAACUAAUGAUCAUACAUGUGAUGUUGUAAAGCUUGGCAUUUCUUGUACUUGUGAGUUUUGUUUAGGAUAUUAUUAUUUGAUGUGCGUUAUAUUUAUAGAUGAUGUGAGUUGUAUUAGGAAUCCCUUGGCCUUGUUACAAUCCUGUUAUUUGGUUCACAUCCUGGUUCUCAGCUUUGGUAUUUUUGCAUCAAAAUGUGUUUACUUGCAGGAGGAGUUCCAGCUUGCUCUUUUUAAGACCAACCAAAUGGACAGCCUUUUUACUGACAGGAUGUUGAAGCUGUGGAUUUAAGGAAAAGGCUAAAACUUGCCGAGGGCCAUUUUGAAGCAUGAAGACUGUUGGCAUAUUAUCAGUUAUUUUCUGGUAUUAUUAGAUCUCCUGCAGAUUUCGAUAUUCAGUUAAAUGGAGAAACUAUGAGUCAUCUUGAUCUUGUGGCUCACCACACAACAUUCUUUCUUACGUCUUAUGUUUGUGCUUUGAGUAGAGGUUGUGUGUGUUACAUUAGCUGAAAUGUGUGAUGAGCAAUGUAAGUUUAUGCUGUGUGUGUGAACCGCAGGCAGAAAUUAUGGAGGUUAUUUUGGAUAUUUCAGUUUAUAAUCACGAUUCCAAUUAUGUUUAUCGAAAAA